UACGUAGGGGGCAAGCGUUGUUCGGAAUUACUGGGCGUAAAGGGCUCGUAGGCGGCCAACUAAGUCAGACGUGAAAUCCCUCGGCUUAACCGGGGAACUGCAUCUGAUACUGGAUGGCUUGAGAUUGGGAGAGGGAUGCGGAAUUCCAGGUGUAGCGGUGAAAUGCGUAGAUAUCUGGAGGAACACCGGUGGCGAAGGCGGCAUCCUGGACCAACACUGACGCUGAGGAGCGAAAGCCAGGGGAGCAAACGGG
rnacentral:rRNA from 1 species